rnacentral:rRNA from 1 species
CGAACGCUGGCGGCGUGCGUAAUACAUGCAAGUAGAACGCUGAAGAGAGGAGCUUGCUCUUCUUGGAUGAGUUGCGAACGGGUGAGUAACGCGUAGGUAACCUGCCUUGUAGCGGGGGAUAACUAUUGGAAACGAUAGCUAAUACCGCAUAACAAUGGGUGACUCAUGUCAUUUAUUUGAAAGGGGCAAAUGCUCCACUACAAGAUGGACCUGCGUUGUAUUAGCUAGUAGGUGAGGUAACGGCUCACCUAGGCGACGAUACAUAGCCGACCUGAGAGGGUGAUCGGCCACACUGGGACUGAGACACGGCCCAGACUCCUACGGGAGGCAGCAGUAGGGAAUCUUCGGCAAUGGGGGCAACCCUGACCGAGCAACGCCGCGUGAGUGAAGAAGGUUUUCGGAUCGUAAAGCUCUGUUGUAAGUCAAGAACGAGUGUGAGAGUGGAAAGUUCACACUGUGACGGUAGCUUACCAGAAAGGGACGGCUAACUACGUGCCAGCAGCCGCGGUAAUACGUAGGUCCCGAGCGUUGUCCGGAUUUAUUGGGCGUAAAGCGAGCGCAGGCGGUUUGAUAAGUCUGAAGUUAAAGGCUGUGGCUCAACCAUAGUUCGCUUUGGAAACUGUCAAACUUGAGUGCAGAAGGGGAGAGUGGAAUUCCAUGUGUAGCGGUGAAAUGCGUAGAUAUAUGGAGGAACACCGGUGGCGAAAGCGGCUCUCUGGU